rnacentral:rRNA from 1 species
AUUGAACGCUGGCGGCAGGCCUAACACAUGCAAGUCGAGCGGAUGAAGGGAGCUUGCUCCUGGAUUCAGCGGCGGACGGGUGAGUAAUGCCUAGGAAUCUGCCUGGUAGUGGGGGAUAACGUCCGGAAACGGGCGCUAAUACCGCAUACGUCCUGAGGGAGAAAGUGGGGGGUUCUUCGGACCUCACGCUAUCAGAUGAGCCUAGGUCGGAUUAGCUAGUUGGUGGGGUAAAGGCCUACCAAGGCGACGAUCCGUAACUGGUCUGAGAGGAUGAUCAGUCACACUGGAGCUGAGACACGGUCCAGACUCCUACGGGAGGCAGCAGUGGGGAAUAUUGGACAAUGGGCGAAAGCCUGAUCCAGCCAUGCCGCGUGUGUGAAGAAGGUCUUCGGAUUGUAAAGCACUUUAAGUUGGGAGGAAGGGCAGUAAGUUAAUACCUUGCUGUUUUGACGUUACCAACAGAAUAAGCACCGGCUAACUUCGUG